AAAACUUGAGCAACGAAACAUAUUUUGCCUUCAUUAAGCUUGUUAGGCAACAAGAACACUUUUGUUGCCAAACAUAGCGUAGGGCAAGAAAAUAUUUUGUUGCCAUAUAUUCUAAUUUUCUUGCCUAUUCCACAUCAUUAAGAAGAACAAAAUCUGUUUAGCUAUAGCGAUAAAGACUAAUUUUUGUUGCAAGAUAUGAAUUUUAGCAAUAAAGUAAGUUUUGUUGCAAUAGAAUUUGUAGCCAAUACU
rnacentral:lncRNA from 1 species